UUUCUGCUGGGCGUCGUAUCGCCUAACAGCCAUGCGGCGGGUCUCACGGCCGGCCUUACGGCUGACCGCGGGGCCGACUGCUUUAACCCAACAAACACCAAAGCAAUCAAUCUGAAACAGUUUGCCGUCGACUUGAUCGGCGUGCAACCAAACAAAUGACAACUCUCAACAACGGAUAUCUUGGCUCCCGCAUCGAUGAAGAACGCAGCGAAAUGCGAUACGUAGUGUGAAUUGCAGAAUUCCGUGAAUCAUCGAAUCUUUGAACGCAUAUUGCGCUCGAGACCUCGGUCAAGAGCAUGUCUGGCUCAGCGUCGGCUCACCCCCUCGCCACCCUCUCCCCUGUGGAGAUGGGCAGGCGGAUCUGGCCGUGUCUGUACUCCGUGAGAGAACAGGCUCGGCUGAAGAACAGAGGCUUGAGCAUGGUCCCGCUGAUAGGGCGCCAGCUUGGUAGGUAGCUUACGCUGCAUGCCGCUGACUCCCCUAGGGACCUGUGCUGUAAAGCCGGCAGGAGUCGGAGCGCAAGCUCCGAACUCUUA
rnacentral:rRNA from 1 species